CCUUUGUAAAUACGGUUGUAUCUAUAGAAGAAGAAAAAAUAAAUAAAUAAAAUAAAAUACUAAAAUUUUCAAAAAAAUACUUUAUUUGUAGGCCCACAUUGUCUUAUAACAUAUUGUCUUGCUUGAAAAUGCAUUAGGCACUUUUUUGUGGAAAGUAAAUUGGAAAUUAUAAUAAAUUUCUUAAAAAUUCUGAUAUAAUCUUAAAUAUGUUUUAAUUGAAAAAUUAAUAAUUUUAAUCAAAUCUUAAUUAAUUCUAAAAAAAUCUUAAAUGAAAUUUAAAAGAAUCAUAAAAAUUCUAAAGAAAUACUAAAAAAAAUU
rnacentral:lncRNA from 1 species